rnacentral:rRNA from 1 species
CCUACGGGUGGCAGCAGUGGGGAAUAUUGCACAAUGGGCGAAAGCCUGAUGCAGCAACGCCGCGGGAAGGAAGACGGUUUUCGGAUUGUAAACUUCUGUUCGUAGUGAAGAAGAAUGACGGAAACGAAGGAGCAAGCCACGGCUAACUACGUGCCAGCAGCAGCGGUAAUACGUAGGUGGCAAGCGUUGGCCGGAAUUACGGGGUGGAAAGGGAGCGUAGGCGGGAAGCCAAGUCAGCUGUGAAAACUACGGGCUUAACCUGUAGACUGCAGUUGAAACUGGCUUUCUUGAGUGCAGUAGAGGUUGGCGGACUUCCGAGUGUAGCGGUGAAAUGCGUAGAUAUUCGGAGGAACACCGGUGGCGACGGCGGCCCACUUGGCUUUACCUGACGCUGCGGCUCGAAAGUGUGGGGAGCAAACAGGAUUAGAUACCCGAGUAGUC